AUGAGUUGCUCAGUAUGGAACUGUCGUGGGGCUGGCAAACCUACGACAGUUCAUGAACUUCGAGACCUCUCGAAGCAAUAUGCCCCCUCUAUAUUGUGUAUUCUUGAAACUCAGAUCGAGGGCUCACGAGUUGAGAAUCUGGUAGGAACCUUAGGGUAUGAUAAAAGUUUUGAUGUAAGCAGCUCCGAAAGGAGCGGUGGAUUAGGUAUCUUUUGGAAGGAAGAAAUAAAACUUGAAGUUAUUGGUUAA
rnacentral:rRNA from 1 species